rnacentral:rRNA from 1 species
GACGAACGCUGGCGGCGUGCUUAACACAUGCAAGUCGAGCGGUAAGGCCCUUUCGGGGGUACACGAGCGGCGAACGGGUGAGUAACACGUGGGUGACCUGCCCUCAGCUCUGGGAUAAGCCCGGGAAACUGGGUCUAAUACUGGAUAUGACUCCAUGACGCAUGUUGUGGGGUGGAAAGCCUUGUGCGGCUGAGGAUGGGCCCGCGGCCUAUCAGCUUGUUGGUGGGGNGAUGGCCUACCAAGGCGACGACGGGUAGCCGGCCUGAGAGGGCGACCGGCCACACUGGGACUGAGACACGGCCCAGACUCCUACGGGAGGCAGCAGUGGGGAAUCUUGCGCAAUGGGCGAAAGCCUGACGCAGCGACGCCGCGUGAGGGAU